UCGCAAGACCAAAGAGGGGGACCCUCGGGCCUCUUGCCAUCGGAUGUGCCCAGAUGGGAUUAGCUUGUUGGUGGGGGUAACGGCUCACCAAGGCGACGAUCCGUAGUUGGUCUGAGAGGAUGACCAGCCACACUGGAACUGAGACACGGUCCAGACUCCUACGGGAGGCAGCAGUGGGGAAUAUUGCACAAUGGGCGCAAGCCUGAUGCAGCCAUGCCGCGUGUAUGAAGAAGGCCUUCGGGUUGUAAAGUACUUUCAGCGGGGAGGAAGGGAGUAAAGUUAAUACCUUUGCUCAUUGACGUUACCCGCAGAAGAAGCACCGGCUAACUCCGUGCCAGCAGCCGCGGUAAUACGGAGGGUGCAAGCGUUAAUCGGAAUUACUGGGCGUAAAGCGCACGCAGGCGGUUUGUUAAGUCAGAUGUGAAAUCCCCGGGCUCAACCUGGGAACUGCAUCUGAUACUGGCAAGCUUGAGUCUCGUAGAGGGGGGUAGAAUUCCAGGUGUAGCGGUGAAAUGCGUAGAGAUCUGGAGGAAUACCGGUGGCGAAGGCGGCCCCCUGGACGAAGACUGACGCUCAGGUGCGAAAGCGCGGGAUCAAACAGGAUUAGAUACCCUGGUAGUCCACGCCGUAAUCGAUUCACUUGGAGGUUGUGCCCUUGAGGCGUGGCUUCCGGAGCUAACGCGUUAAGUCGACC
rnacentral:rRNA from 1 species